GACGAACGCUGGCGGCGUGCUUAACACAUGCAAGUCGAACGAAAAGGCCCGGCUUUUGUGGGGCGCUCGAGUGGCGAAAGGGUGAGUAACACGUGAGUAUCCUGCCCUUGACUUUGGGAUAGCUCCUGGAAACUGGGGCUAAUACCGGAUAGGAGCUCCUGCUGCAUGGUGUGGGUUGGUAAGUUUCGGUGGUUGGGGAUGGACUCGCGGCUUAUCAGCUAGUUCGGGGGGUGGUGGCGUACCAAGGCUAUGAAGGGUAGCCCGCCUGGGCACGAGACCGGUGACUGUUGGCCUGAAUGAGGCUCCAGACGCUAACGGGAGGCAAGAGUGGGAAAUAUUUCCUAAUGGGCUGGGGCCUGAUGCAGCGAACCCCCGACCGGGAAGCCGGCUUUCGGGUUGUAAACAGAUGUUGCCUGUGAUGAGGAGGGAGUGACGGUACUGGAUAAAAAAGCACCGGCUAACUACGUG
rnacentral:rRNA from 1 species